CGUACAAUCAGCUCUCAGGAAGCUUUCCUUGUUGGGUUAGUCAACCGAAUCUAAAAUUGAACUUGGUGGCGAAUAACUUUGUGAUAGACAGCUCCAACAACAGCAUUUUACCCUCAGGUUUAAACUGUCUUCAGCGAAAUAUAC